GGGGCUGUGGCUCAGGUGACAGAGUGCCUGCCUGGUAUUCACAAAGCCCUGGGUUCCAUCCCCAGCACCACCU
rnacentral:tRNA from 1 species